ACCCUGUAGACUCGAAUUUGUGU
rnacentral:ncRNA from 2 species